AUAAAUAACAAUAUAGGGCUCUUAUGGGUCUUAUAAUUGGAMUGAGUACAAUUUAAAUCCCUUAACGAGGAUCAAUUGGAGGGCAAGUCUGGUGAACUUCAGUUCCGCCGUAUYAAUUACCGGCUUCUGACGCCAGAMAKAGUAGGAGUUGUGGCACUAUGCACAUCUUAGGCCUGCUAGUCGAGUCUACAAAAUAGKUUUGGGUGUAGUCCGGCRRGGUAACCUGGUACGGGGAAACCUAAGGCUAAUGCAAAUUAGCUAUGGYAAUCCCGUGGCGAGCCGAUGUUCAGUAAUGUUCAUCAAUGGCCGUUGUAACGCGCGCAAAGGUACCGGUUAGGUGUAAAUACCUGACUCAAGGGACGUGCUAUUCCCACCGGAAACGGUGCUUACAACUGGAGCUCCCAAAGAGUAAAGGUCGUAAGGAACAAUGACUCAGGAAGAAAUACCUGAGUAUGUCAAGUUCGGUAUUCAAUAUUGUAAAGGCCAGCAGCCGCGGUAAUUCCAGCUCCAAUAGCGUAUAUUAAAGUUGUUGCCGUUAAAAAGCUCGUAGUCGAACUUCGGCCUUUGCCGCCCGGUCCGCCUAUUUGGGUGUGUACUGGAGCGGUGGAGGCUUACCUCGUGGUGAGCAAUCAUCCCCUUUACUGGGAGUGGUUGGGAACCAUGAUUUUUACUUUGAAAAAAUUAGAGUGUUCAAAGCAGGCUUAUGCCCGAAUACAUUAGCAUGGAAUAAUAAAAUAGGACGUGCGGUUCUAUUUUGUUGGUUUCUAGGAUCGCCGUAAUGAUUAAUAGGGAUAGUUGGGGGCAUUCGUAUUCAAUUGCUAGAGGUGAAAUUCUUGGAUUUAUUGAAGACGAACUACUGCGAAAGCAUUUGCCAAGGAUGUUUUCAUUGAUCAAGAACGAAGGUUAGGGGAUCGAAAACGAUCAGAUACCGUUGUAGUCUUAACAGUAAACGAUGCCGACUAGGGAUCGGACGAGGAUUUUUAAUGACUCGUUCGGCACCUGAAGAGAAAUCUUUAAGUCUAGGUUCGGGGGGGAGUAUGGUCGCAAGGCUGAAACUUAAAGGAAUUGACGGAAGGGCACCACCAGKUSUGSAKCCUGCGGCUUAWUUUGMCUCAACACGGGGAAACUCACCAGGUCCAGACACGACAAGGAUUGACAGAUUGAUAGCUCUUUCUUGAUUUCGUGGAUGGUGGUGCAUGGCCGUUCUUAGUUGGUGGAGUGAUUUGUCUGGUUAAUUCCGAUAACGAMCGAGACCUUAMCCUGCUAAAUAGCCCGGCCGGCUUUGGCUGGUCGCU
rnacentral:rRNA from 1 species